rnacentral:rRNA from 1 species
UUAGUAGCGGCGAGUGAAGCGGCAAAAGCUCAAAUUUGAAAUCUGGUACUUUCAGUAUCCGAGUUGUAAUUUGUAGAAGCAACUUUGGUGAUGGUCUUUGCAUAAGUUCCUUGGAAUAGGACGUCAUAGAGGGUGAGAAUCCCGUUUAUGGUGAAGAACCCACACUAUGUAAAGUGCUUUCGAAGAGUCGAGUUGUUUGGGAAUGCAGCUCAAAGUGGGUGGUAAAUUCCAUCUAAAGCUAAAUAUUGGCGAGAGACCGAUAGCGAACAAGUACUGUGAAGGAAAGAUGAAAAGAACUUUGAAAAGAGAGUGAAAAAGUACGUGAAAUUGUUGAAAGGGAAGGGAUCUAAAUCAGACAUGGUAUUUUGUGAUCAACAGUCUUUCGGGACUGUGCACUCGCAUUUUACUAGGCCAGCAUCGGUUAGAAGGGGGUAAAAAAGAUUUUGGAAUGUGGCUCCUCGGAGUGUUAUAGCCAAGGUUAAUUGCCCCAUUUCUGACCGAGGACCGCGUCUUUUGACUAGGAUGCUGGCGUAAUGGUUUUGAUCCACCCGUCUUGAAACACGGACC